GAAUGGGGAAACCCAGUGUGUUUCGACACACUAUCAUUAACUGAAUCCAUAGGUUAAUGAGGCGAACCGGGGGAACUGAAACAUCUAAGUACCCCGAGGAAAAGAAAUCAACCGAGAUUCCCCCAGUAGCGGCGAGCGAACGGGGAGGAGCCCAGAGCCUGAAUCAGUGUGUGUGUUAGUGGAAGCGUCUGGAAAGGCGCGCGAUACAGGGUGACAGCCCCGUACACAAAAAUGCACAUAUUGUGAGCUCGAUGAGUAGGGCGGGACACGUGGUAUCCUGUCUGAAUAUGGGGGGACCAUCCUCCAAGGCUAAAUACUCCUGACUGACCGAUAGUGAACCAGUACCGUGAGGGAAAGGCGAAAAGAACCCCGGCGAGGGGAGUGAAAAAGAACCUGAAACCGUGUACGUACAAGCAGUGGGAGCCUCUUAAUGGGGUGACUGCGUACCUUUUGUAUAAUGGGUCAGCGACUUAUAUUCUGUAGCAAGGUUAACCGAAUAGGGGAGCCGAAGGGAAACCGAGUCUUAACUGGGCGUUAAGUUGCAGGGUAUAGACCCGAAACCCGGUGAUCUAGCCAUGGGCAGGUUGAAGGUUGGGUAACACUAACUGGAGGACCGAACCGACUAAUGUUGAAAAAUUAGCGGAUGACUUGUGGCUGGGGGUGAAAGGCCAAUCAAACCGGGAGAUAGCUGGUUCUCCCCGAAAGCUAUUUAGGUAGCGCCUCGUGAAUUCAUCUCCGGGGGUAGAGCACUGUUUCGGCAAGGGGGUCAUCCCGACUUACCAACCCGAUGCAAACUGCGAAUACCGGAGAAUGUUAUCACGGGAGACACACGGCGGGUGCUAACGUCCGUCGUGAAGAGGGAAACAACCCAGACCGCCAGCUAAGGUCCCAAAGUCAUGGUUAAGUGGGAAACGAUGUGGGAAGGCCCAGACAGCCAGGAUGUUGGCUUAGAAGCAGCCAUCAUUUAAAGAAAGCGUAAUAGCUCACUGGUCGAGUCGGCCUGCGCGGAAGAUGUAACGGGGCUAAACCAUGCACCGAAGCUGCGGCAGCGACACUAUGUGUUGUUGGGUAGGGGAGCGUUCUGUAAGCCUGUGAAGGUGGCCUGUGAGGGUUGCUGGAGGUAUCAGAAGUGCGAAUGCUGACAUAAGUAACGAUAAAGCGGGUGAAAAGCCCGCUCGCCGGAAGACCAAGGGUUCCUGUCCAACGUUAAUCGGGGCAGGGUGAGUCGACCCCUAAGGCGAGGCCGAAAGGCGUAGUCGAUGGGAAACAGGUUAAUAUUCCUGUACUUGGUGUUACUGCGAAGGGGGGACGGAGAAGGCUAUGUUGGCCGGGCGACGGUUGUCCCGGUUUAAGCGUGUAGGCUGGUUUUCCAGGCAAAUCCGGAAAAUCAAGGCUGAGGCGUGAUGACGAGGCACUACGGUGCUGAAGCGACAAAUGCCCUGCUUCCAGGAAAAGCCUCUAAGCAUCAGGUAACAUCAAAUCGUACCCCAAACCGACACAGGUGGUCAGGUAGAGAAUACCAAGGCGCUUGAGAGAACUCGGGUGAAGGAACUAGGCAAAAUGGUGCCGUAACUUCGGGAGAAGGCACGCUGAUAUGUAGGUGAAGCGACUUGCUCGUGGAGCUGAAAUCAGUCGAAGAUACCAGCUGGCUGCAACUGUUUAUUAAAAACACAGCACUGUGCAAACACGAAAGUGGACGUAUACGGUGUGACGCCUGCCCGGUGCCGGAAGGUUAAUUGAUGGGGUUAGCGGUAACGCGAAGCUCUUGAUCGAAGCCCCGGUAAACGGCGGCCGUAACUAUAACGGUCCUAAGGUAGCGAAAUUCCUUGUCGGGUAAGUUCCGACCUGCACGAAUGGCGUAAUGAUGGCCAGGCUGUCUCCACCCGAGACUCAGUGAAAUUGAACUCGCUGUGAAGAUGCAGUGUACCCGCGGCAAGACGGAAAGACCCCGUGAACCUUUACUAUAGCUUGACACUGAACAUUGAGCCUUGAUGUGUAGGAUAGGUGGGAGGCUUUGAAGUGUGGACGCCAGUCUGCAUGGAGCCGACCUUGAAAUACCACCCUUUAAUGUUUGAUGUUCUAACGUGGGCCCCUUACCGGGGUUGCGGACAGUGUCUGGUGGGUAGUUUGACUGGGGCGGUCUCCUCCUAAAGAGUAACGGAGGAGCACGAAGGUUGGCUAAUCCUGGUCGGACAUCAGGAGGUUAGUGCAAUGGCAUAAGCCAGCUUGACUGCGAGCGUGACGGCGCGAGCAGGUGCGAAAGCAGGUCAUAGUGAUCCGGUGGUUCUGAAUGGAAGGGCCAUCGCUCAACGGAUAAAAGGUACUCCGGGGAUAACAGGCUGAUACCGCCCAAGAGUUCAUAUCGACGGCGGUGUUUGGCACCUCGAUGUCGGCUCAUCACAUCCUGGGGCUGAAGUAGGUCCCAAGGGUAUGGCUGUUCGCCAUUUAAAGUGGUACGCGAGCUGGGUUUAGAACGUCGUGAGACAGUUCGGUCCCUAUCUGCCGUGGGCGCUGGAGAACUGAGGGGGGCUGCUCCUAGUACGAGAGGACCGGAGUGGACGCAUCACUGGUGUUCGGGUUGUCAUGCCAAUGGCACUGCCCGGUAGCUAAAUGCGGAAGAGAUAAGUGCUGAAAGCAUCUAAGCACGAAACUUGCCCCGAGAUGAGUUCUCCCUGACUCCUUGAGAGUCCUGAAGGAACGUUGAAGACGACGACGUUGAUAGGCCGGGUGUGUAAGCGCAGCGAUGCGUUGAGCUAACCGGUACUAAUGAACCGUGAGGCUUAACCUU
rnacentral:rRNA from 1 species